rnacentral:rRNA from 1 species
CUCAGAACGAACGCUGGCGGCGCGUCUUAAGCAUGCAAGUCGAACGGCAAGAGGUAGCAAUACCUCCUAGAGUGGCGGACUGGUGAGUAACACGUGGGUGACAUACCCUUCAGAUGGGGAUAGCUAUUAGAAAUAGUAGAUAAUACCGAAUACGAGCACAGGGGUUAGAGAUCUGUGAGGAAAGGAGCUAAGGCUCCGCUGAAGGAAUGGCCUGCGGCCCAUUAGCUAGUUGGUGAGGUAAGAGCCCACCAAGGCGACGAUGGGUAUCCGGCCUUAGAGGGUGAACGGACACAUUGGGACUGAGAUACGGCCCAGACUCCUACGGGAGGCAGCAGCUAAGAAUAUUCCGCAAUGGACGAAAGUCUGACGGAGCGACGCCGCGUGGAUGAAGAAGGCCGGAAGGUUGUAAAAUCCUUUUGAAACUGAAGAAUAAGCGUUGUAGGGAAUGACAGCGUGGUGACAGUAGGUUUUGAAUAAGCAACGGCUAAUUACGUGCCAGCCGCAGC